rnacentral:rRNA from 1 species
UACGGGGGGGCGAAGCGUUGUUCGGAAUUACUGGGCGUAAAGGCUCGUAGGCGGCCAACUAAGUCAGACGUGAAAUCCCUCGGCUUAACCGGGGAACUGCGUCUGAUACUGGAUGGCUUGAAUCCGGGAGAGGGAUGCGGAAUUCCAGGUGUAGCGGUGAAAUGCGCAGAUAUCAGGAGGAACACCGGUGGCGAAGGCGGGUCUCUGGGCCGAUACUGACGCUGAGGAGCGAAAGCGUGGGGAGCGAACAGG